UGGCCAUGCACUCGGCGCAUGCGUCAGAGGAUCGUUUGCGCUCAGACAUGACAAGGCAAAGUUUGAGGGCGCCAGGUUUUCACGGGAGGACAGUGUAAGACAGCAUGGACAGUCGUUUAACAAGAAAGUUCAUCGAUGUGGAGCCAUAUGGACAUCAACAUUAAGUUACUGCAGCCAAAGAGUCUAAGAAGCAGUGUCCUCUCAGUGUGUAAUAGCAGCAGCUUGCACCAACAAAGACGCCUGACUGUGAAGAAUAUUGAAGGACACUGACUCAAGAAUUUGGUCUCAACAGCUUACACAAGGUGAAGAAGACUCUGCUCAUCAUGUCCUCAAGAUCCUUGUCAUCAGUGGAAAUGCACCACAGGAAGGCCACAAUCCUGCCCCUGUGUCAGUCAUCGUCGAAGGAAAACAGGUUCUGGAUGACUGCAAAACUGUGGCAAAGGCUUGCCUUCUGCUCAUGGGCUUAAUCUACGCCAUGAACUUGAGUUACCCACCGAAACUGAAAUACACAUUUGAAGUAUUUCAGAAGCUGUUUCUUGAGCUGGAUGUUCUGAAAAUGUCGCCCAAGGUUCGGUCUUUGCAAAAAAAAACUUCUACUGUGAGUGUUUCCACAGGUCUGCAUAUGCUGUUCAAGCAUAUAGCUGUUUGUCUGAUGUGUGGAAGCAGUACAUGACACUUGUUGAAAGAUUUCACUGUUAUGCUUAACAGUUACACUUCAGAACAUUUUAUUGGGUCUUUAACCUGUAAUUGUUUGCAUUAUUGUGAAUGUUCAAAAAAAAUCUACACUGAUUUAGAAUAUUUUGUCUGGUAUUUGUAACCACACUAAUCACUGCUGGAACAUGUAAUAAAGAUGUUCUUGUUUGAAAGUAUGUUUUCAUUUCAUAUUUGUAGAACAUGUGUUAAGAUAAUUUCAUUUAAUUAAAAGUAGGCCAUGUUAAAAAUACAACACAUUCAUAUUAGAAUAGUGGUGUAGGUGGUAGCUUAAAUAUGUAAAUAUUACUUAAAUAUUACUUGGUCAAAUAAAGUAAGGAAAAACUAGUUAAAUACUCCUGAAAAUCAAGUAUUUUUAGAUGGGUUUUCAAUUCAGUUCAAUUCAAUUUUAUUUAUAUAGCGCCAAUUACAGUCAAAUUGUCUCGAGAGGCUUUACAGAACCCAUAUGCCUGACCCCCAGAGCAAGCCAAAAGGCGACAGU